rnacentral:tRNA from 1 species
GCCUCUUUAGCUCAGUGACAGAGCACUGGUCUCGCAAACCAGGGGUCGCGAGUUCAAACCUCACAGGAGGCA